CUGCCCAAAGAGUGCAGAUCCCAGAGCUCCAGCACUGCCCUAACGUGUGUGAGCAAUUCCCAUUUUCAUGGGAAGAAAAGAUUUGAGAAUGGAUAUCUUUCCUGCCUGUUUGCAGAGCAGUGUGGAUGAGGAGGAGGAAGCUGCUUCAUUUUCCCACUUCAUGACUACACAGCUUUUUAUUUCCUUCUGAGCCAUGGGUGUGUAAUCAGUGACUGUGAUCGUGUGCUCCACAAAAGCUACCACAGCACCGUUAACCACCUUCAUAACCCUCAUUUGAGAAAUCUGCAAUAACAAUUCCAGUGAUGAAAGACAUUUGCAUACAGUUAAUGUAAAUCUAAUGCUUAAACAAGCUCUACAGAAUAUUAAUCAUCCUGAUUUUUCUGAGAGGUCAUAAGAAAAGUAAUCAAGACAUGAUUUAAUUUAUGGUGAUGAGCCACUUAAAUUGCAUAUGUAUGGAGAGGGGGGAUGCAAUGGAGGAAAUCUGGGUAAGUUUGGAAGAAGCUUUGAAAUGUCCAAACAAACAUUUAAAAACAAUCUAUGUAAAUACAAUUAGUAAGACACCAAAUUGAGCUUUAUGAUCCAAAGAAGUUCCCAUCGGCCAAAAUUGGACUGAAAGGAACAGACAGAAGAGAAUGAGGAUAUGCACUGAAAACGUUACCUUUGGAAGCAUGAGCAUAUUUGUGCACAACGUGACAGAUGCAUGUUUCUAUGGUAGAAAGUUUUGUACUAAGGAACAGUCACUCUCUUACGAUAAAUUCCUUUCUAUGAGAAAGCAUGGGCCCUUUCCUUUCUGCUAAGCAAGCUGUUGAAACUGAGAGCAAAUACAAGUGGUUGACUU